rnacentral:ncRNA from 1 species
UGUUUUUCCUUCUAUCAUUGUGAAGCAGAAUUUAUUGAUCGUUGGGUUAUUCACCCUCUAACAAAGAACGUGAGCCGGGUUUAGACUGUCGUGAGACAGGUU